GAUGAACGCUGGCGGCGUGCCUAAUACAUGCAAGUCGAGCGAACAGACGAGGAGCUUGCUCCUCUGACGUUAGCGGCGGACGGGUGAGUAACACGUGGAUAACCUACCUAUAAGACUUGGAUAACUUCGGGAAACCGGAGCUAAUACCGGAUAAUAUAUUGAACCGCAUGGUUCAAUAGUGAAAGACGGUUUUGCUGUCACUUAUAGAUGGAUCCGCGCCGCAUUAGCUAGUUGGUAAGGUAACGGCUUACCAAGGCAACGAUGCGUAGCCGACCUGAGAGGGGAACCGACAAAAUGGAAAAGGGGAAAGGGCCCGAAUCCGAAGGGAGGCAAAAAGGAGGAAUAUUUGCGAAAGGGGGGAAGGCCGAACGAGGAAAACCGGGGGGGGGAAGAAGGGUUUUGGGUUGGAAAAACUUUUUUAUGGGGAAAAAAAAAAGGUGUAAGAAAAAAUGCAGGUCUUAAGGGAACCAAAUAAGAAACCCAGGGCAAAUUAGGG
rnacentral:rRNA from 1 species